UACGGAGGGAGCUAGCGUUGUUCGGAAUUACUGGGCGUAAAGCGCACGUAGGCGGAUACUUAAGUCAGGGGUGAAAUCCCGGGGCUCAACCCCCGGAACUGCCUUUGAUACUGGGUAUCUCGAGUCCGGAAGAGGUGAGUGGAACUCCGAGUGUAGAGGUGAAAUUCGUAGAUAUUCGGAAGAACACCAGUGGCGAAGGCGGGCUCACUGGCCCGGUACUGACGCUGAGGUGCGAAAGCGUGGGGAGCAAACAGGG
rnacentral:rRNA from 1 species